GACGAACGCUGGCGGCGUGCUUAACACAUGCAAGUCGAACGGAAAGGCCCUGCUUGCAGGGUACUCGAGUGGCGAACGGGUGAGUAACACGUGGGUGAUCUGCCCUGCACUUCGGGAUAAGCCUGGGAAACUGGGUCUAAUACCGGAUAGGAGCCAUUUUUAGUGUGAUGGUUGGAAAGUUUUUUCGGUGUAGGAUGAGCUCGCGGCCUAUCAGCUUGUUGGUGGGGUAAUGGCCUACCAAGGCGGCGACGGGUAGCCGGCCUGAGAGGGUGGACGGCCACAUUGGGACUGAGAUACGGCCCAGACUCCUACGGGAGGCAGCAGUGGGGAAUAUUGCACAAUGGGCGCAAGCCUGAUGCAGCGACGCCGCGUGGGGGAUGACGGCCUUCGGGUUGUAAACUCCUUUCGCUAGGGACGAAGCUUUUUGUGACGGUACCUAGAGAAGAAGCACCGGCUAACUACGU
rnacentral:rRNA from 1 species